rnacentral:rRNA from 1 species
GCUUAGAGAGGGGUCAAUGUCCUAUCAGCUAGUUGGUAGGGUAAUGGCCUACCAAGGCUAAGACGGGUAGCCGGCCUGAGAGGGUGGUCGGCCACACUGGGACUGAGACACUGCCCAGACUCCUACGGGAGGCUGCAGUCGAGAAUCUUUCGCAAUGCCCGAAAGGGUGACGAAGCGACGCCGCGUGUGGGAAGAAGGCCUUCGGGUUGUAAACCACUGUCGGGAGUUAAGAAAUGUAAGGGUAUUAAUAGUAUCCUUACUUGACUACGGCUCCGGAGGAGGCCACGGCUAACUCUGUGCCAGCAGCCGCGGUAAUACAGAGGCGGCAAGCGUUGUUCGGAAUUGUUGGGCGUAAAGAGCACGUAGGCGGCUUUGUAAGUCAGUUGUGAAAGCCCUCUGCUCAACGGAAGAACAGCAUCUGAUACUGCAAGGCUAGAGUGCGGAAGGG